rnacentral:lncRNA from 1 species
AGGAAGGGCUCUGAGACCAGCUCCCUGCUCCACUGCAUGGCAGAGGACGCCCGGGCCCCACGAGGGGAGGGGACAGACCUGAGGCCAGCUGGCAUACUGCUAUACCCUGGGAACAAGAAGAGUCAGACCCAGCUAGCCUGGAGCAACUCAAUGAAUCAACAGCAGCAGCCAUGGCUCCUCUUCCAGGGCAGCCCAGGGCAGGCACUGCCAGUCGAUCCCAGCACCCUUUCCCUCAGACCCCGGACUCAGCCUCAAAAUUCGUCUCCAGCCAGGGGAUUUAGCUCAGUGGUUUCACCGCCUGCCGCGCAAGCGCAAGGACCCGAGUUCGAUUCCCAGUACCAAAAAUAAAAUAAAAUAAAACAAAGAUUCAUCUCUUCCCAGAGCUUCAGGCAGCC